CGCGUAGGCGGGAUGGCAAGUCGGUCGUGAAAUCCCUCGGCUCAACUGAGGAACGUCGAUCGAAACUGCCGUUCUUGAGGGUUGCAGAGGAGACUGGAAUUCCCGGUGUAGCGGUGAAAUGUGUAGAGAUCGGGAGGAACACCGGUGGCGAAGGCGGGUCUCUGGGCAAUUCCUGACGCUGAGGCGCGAAAGCGUGGGGAGCAAACGGGAUUAGAUACCCCGGUAGUCCACGCUGUAAACGAUGACGACUAGGUGUGGGGGGGUUCAGUCCCUUCCGUGCCGCAGCUAACGCAUUAAGUCGUCCGCCUGGGGAGUACGGCCGCAAGGUUGAA
rnacentral:rRNA from 1 species